AAAGCCUCGUUGGAGAUUUCUCAGUUUCCAUUGUUUACUUCCUGCCCCGCGUGACGUAGCUGCACCGCGUGACGUCACUUCCUCUGCCAGUCGACCAUAUUAAGUGUCGUAAAACCUGCUUCUUUUCAAAGCUAUAUCCAGUCAUGUCGCGGAGGGUAUGUUGCCUGUAUUGUGUGGAUAAAUCCACAAUGUUUGCAGUACCAAGGCAGAACAACGACGAAGUCAGUGGUUGACAUUCCUUUUUAACACUGUUCCAGCUGAUUUACCAGCCGGUACUGUUGUGUGUGCGCGGCAUUUCACGGACCAAAGCUUAACAAUGUUUAGCUUCGGACUUGAAAAGCUGAUAUUGGAGGACGAUGCUGUUCCUACUUUGUUUGGACCAGCGGGAGAUUCGGGUACACAACCUAGUACAUCACAGCAGGAACACAAUACCCACCGCUCCAGUACAGUCGGAUGUCAAACAGACCGUCCACAGACUGUUUGUUUGUGUGGGAACUCAGAGGGUACCCCGGUUGGCAACUUACAAUUAUCUGCUGCUACAUACUUCACUAGUGCUUCCUUCUUCCAACUAAAAAAGAUAUGCAGAGCCAUGCAGCUGGAGAUCUUCCAGUAUGAGACCUUCAGGAGGCAUGCUAGGCAUUAUCUGGAGCCUGCUAUUAUCCACAAGUGGAAAACUGAUCAGCUGAAGAUUUUCUAGCAACUACACCACCAGGGGAGACCAAAUCUGUACAAUGAAAGAAUAAAAGAGAAAUGAAUAAGUGUAUAUAAUUAAUUAUUAUAUGAAUGUUAUAUUUUUCAGUGUAUGUGGGUGAGCUGAUGAGGCUGGUGUUUGAAGAAGUCUUUGAGGACCCAACACCCUUUGUGGAGGAGAUGAAUAAAAUCAACAUCCCAAAGGACCUGUCCACUCAAUUUGACAGGCCCUCAAAGGAGGAAGUGGUAGCCCGCCAUGUCUCACGUUUUAGUCUAGGGGCGGUCGGAAGACCACGUACUGUCCAGCCGGAUCAGGGAACUCCUGGCGUAUCCGGCGGACCACACACGACGGGAUGACCACUCUGAUUCCUCGUCCCAAAAAGCCCCAGCACCAGCUUACGAAGCUGCGAUAGGCCAGUUGCCUAAAACGCCUAUAAGAGGAGGAAUGGAUGAUAACAUAUAUGUGCUGUCCUGUUUUUCACCCUUACCCUCUGGCUGCUUGAACAACUGAAUUUCCCCACAGGGAUUAAUAAAGGUCCAUCUUAUCUCAUACAGUGUAUAUAUACACAUAAUCAAUUUGUACAUUUAUCAAAAUAAAGUUUGAUGGAACUACUUGAUAGCCUUUCUUCCCUGAAUUAUUUGCUCCUAGAUCAUUCAUAUAUAGCAAACCAUUAUUUGAUUUUUCAUCUAAUACAGUAGUAGUUUAUUAUAGCUAAAAAUAACUUACUCUUCUUCAGUUCUACGCCUCAAAGGUCCAUAAUCAAACAGAUAAAUAUUGUGGAGGUUCUGCAGGGUGUAGGGAUUGAGGCAGUUUGGUUCUAGUCCGGGGUGGUCAACCAUGCACACAAUGGGUUCUGGGACUUGGUGCAUUCGUGUUAAAACCUAUAGGAGGAUAAGAUAUUUGUAACAUAAUACGUUUAGCAAUUAAAUCCAACUAUGGCGAGGUUUAUAAAAUAAUAUAACAAAAUAAACAUUCAAUUACUAUAGAAUAAAUAAAAGGGCAUAUAGUCUAUUGACUUGACAAGUAUGUAUGGUGUAUAUAAUGUUGUGUGCUACUGUUGGUGUUUUUGUAUUUGUUGUGGUGACACCCUGUUUUGACCAUAAUUCACCUUUGGUAUAGUGUUGCCACACGGACCCUUUAGUGUGUGCUCUUAGGUUUAGCUUGUCAUUCCUAGCUUGUCAGACAGAGCAGACAUGUAUUUUACCUGAUUCUAAACACACCGCCCCCGACUCCCUUUCAUCGGCACUACACUGUCACCUUUCUAAUCUCCCUGCAACAGAGGUCUUCCACCUCGGUUGGCAUUA